rnacentral:misc_RNA from 1 species
CCCGAAGAUCUGCUCCUCAAAGCCCUCUCCCAACCGUCACCCUUCUCGUUCAACCCCUUUGCCACCGCAGAGAUCAAGCUCGGAGCCCAAGAUGACUUCCUGGCGGCUCUAAUCCAACAAGCCUCGCAGUACGCCAAUUCCAGCACAUCCCCAUCGGCCAAUUCGAAUGAAGGAAACGCAUCUAAUGAAAACGAGAGUCUCACCAGCGAUUCGGUAUUUCUUAGCAAAUUGAACAGCACCUAUCAGAAUAUUAAAGAAGAAGAUUCCUCCUCCUCGUCAGUCAGUGGAAGCACCUCGACAUCCACGUCAUCAGCAGAAUUCCAUCUGAAUGAUGGGACAAGCAUCGCCGCGCUGCUACAAAUCGCCACAGAUUCUGACUUGGUAUUCACAUUUAAUGCGAGAAAAAUGGGCGAAUAUUGCUUUGAGAGUAAUUUAAAAAAUCAAAAAAUGGUAACCCUAACCGAUUGCGGUAACGAAAUCCGAGUCACUCAGCUGGAAAACGACGAGGAGACCCGCGUAGAAAUGUGGAGGAAAAGCGACUGGCAGCAGUUCACUUGGGCGGUGCGGGGCUCUUGUCUCCAUUUUUUGAAGGGUUGCUCCGAAGCACCUUUGAUAAAGAUAGAAGAUGUGAUGAAUCUUGUUGAAGGUUGAAGGAUUAAAAAAGUAAUCCCAACGCUACCAGUUCCAUACUCUUUGUCAUUCCAAUCGAUUUCUCUAACUUCCUCCCAGUGCUAUUUUCACCCCAGUUUCCCUUCAUAAUGAUCACUUACUGGCCCAAAUUGGCGUCUUUCAAUUCAAUUUUUUCCAAAACUUUUUGAAUUUUUCCUCAUUUAUUUAUUGGCUGACGGGUUUUUCUAUUUAUUAAUUUUUAUCUUUUUUUAAAUUUUUCCCUUGACAUUCUAUCAUAAUUUAAAAAAAGAAUAAAUAAUUCCCGUGU